rnacentral:rRNA from 1 species
CCAAUAGCGUAUAUUAAAGUUGUUGCAGUUAAAAAGCUCGUAGUUGAAUUUCGGGGUUAGUAGAUUGGUCAUGCCUCUGGUAUGCACUGGUCUCACUGAUUCCUCCUUCCUGAUGAGCCGUAAUGCCAUUAAUUUGGUGUUGCGGGGAAUUUGGACUGUUACUUUGAAAAAAUUAGAGUGUUUAAAGCAAGCUAACGCUUGAAUACAUUAGCAUGGAAUAAUGAAAUAGGACGUUCGAUCCUAUUUUGUUGGUUUCUAGGAUUGACGUAAUGAUUAAUAGGGAUAGUUGGGGGCAUUAGUAUUCAAUUGUCAGAGGUGAAAUUCUUGGAUUUAUUGAAGACUAACUACUACGAAAGCAUUUGCCAAGGAUGUUUUCAUUAAUCAAGAACGAAAGUUAGGGGAUCGAAGACGCUCAGAUACCGUCGUAGUCUUAACCAUAAACUAUGCCGACUAGGGAUCGGAUGAUGUUAAUUUUUUAAUGACUCAUUCGGCGCCUUACG